rnacentral:lncRNA from 1 species
UAUCAGCCUUACGACCAUCAAGUAGUUCUUCAAAAGUCCACACUUUGUAUUCAUUCAUGGAUCCUAUCUCGAAUUUCAUGGCCUCCGGCCAUUCGUCGAAAUCCAGACCCACCAUCGAUUCUCCAUAGCUCGUAGGUUCAUCAUUGUCUAAAAACAUGACCUCCAAGACAAGGUUACCAUACCACUCUUUAGCAGUACGUGACCUUGUCGACCUACGAGUUUUGUAGUAACUUGAUCUGAAGCUUCAUGAUCACUAUCAUCAGCUUCCACUUCAAUUGGUGUUGGUGCUAGAGGAACAUCUUCCUGCGCCCUGCUACUCAUUGGUUGAAGUGACGGUUCAAUAACCUCAUCAAGUUUCCACC